UACGUAGGUGGCAAGCGUUGUCCGGAAUUACUGGGCGUAAAGCGAGUGUAGGUGGUUGUCGUAGUCAGGUGUGAAAGCCUUGAGCUCAACUCAAGAAAUGCACUUGAUACUCGGCGGCUAGAGGACCGGAGAGGAUAGUGGAAUUCCCAGUGUAGUGGUGAAAUACGUAGAGAUUGGGAAGAACACCAGUGGCGAAGGCGGCUAUCUGGACGGUUUCUGACACUAAGACUCGAAAGCGUGGGGAGCAAACAGG
rnacentral:rRNA from 1 species